ACGGCGUCGAGCGGCGGACGGGUGAGUAAUGCCUAGGAAAUUGCCCUGAUGUGGGGGAUAACCAUUGGAAACGAUGGCUAAUACCGCAUAAUGCCUACGGGCCAAAGAGGGGGACCUUCGGGCCUCUCGCGUCAGGAUAUGCCUAGGUGGGAUUAGCUAGUUGGUGAGGUAAUGGCUCACCAAGGCGACGAUCCCUAGCUGGUCUGAGAGGAUGAUCAGCCACACUGGAACUGAGACACGGUCCAGACUCCUACGGGAGGCAGCAGUGGGGGAAUAUUGCACAAUGGGCGCAAGCCUGAUGCAGCCAUGCCGCGUGUGUGAAGAAGCCUUCGGGUUGUAAAGCACUUUCAGUCGUGAGGAAGGUAGUGUAGUUAAUAGCUGCAUUAUUUGACGUUAGCGACA
rnacentral:rRNA from 1 species